rnacentral:rRNA from 1 species
GACGAACGCUGGCGGCGUGCUUAACACAUGCAAGUCGAACGGUGAAGCGCCUGCCUUUUUGGUGGGUGUGGAUGAGUGGCGAACGGGUGAGUAACACGUGAGUAACCUGCCCUCUUCUUCUGGAUAACCUCAUGAAAGUGGGGCUAAUACGGGGUAUUCCGGGUCUGUCGCAUGGCGGGUUUGGGAAAGAUUGCGCCUUUGGGUGUUUUCGGUGGGGGAUGGGCUCGCGGCCUAUCAGCUUGUUGGUGGGGUGAUGGCCUACCAAGGCGGUGACGGGUAGCCGGCCUGAGAGGGUGGACGGCCACACUGGGACUGAGACACGGCCCAGACUCCUGCGGGAGGCAGCAGUGGGGAAUAUUGCACAAUGGGCGCAAGCCUGAUGCAGCGACGCCGCGUGAGGGAUGGAGGCCUUCGGGUUGUGAACCUCUAUCGCCAGUGAAGCAGGCCUGCUCCUGUGUGGGUGGGUUGACGGUAGCUGGAUAAGAAGCGCCGGCUAACUACGUG